rnacentral:rRNA from 1 species
CUACGGGCUGCUGCAGUUACGAAUCUUUUGCAAUGCACGAAAGUGUGACAAAGCGAGCCAAAGUGUUUCCCGCACAGGGAAACUUUUGUUCAUUUUAAAACGAUGGACGAAUAAGGACCGGGAAAGACUGGUGCCAGCCGCCGCGGUAAUACCAGCGGUCCAAGUUGCAACCAACAUUAUUGGGUCUAAAACAUCCGUAGCUUGUUUAUCAAGUUUCUUGUGAAAUCUUAUUUCUCAAAAAUAAGGCGUGCAGGAAAUACUGGUAAACUAGAGACCGGUAGAUGUAAGGAGUAUAUUUAAGGUAGCGGUAAAAUGUGUUAAUCUUAAGUAGACUAACAAUUAGCGAAGGCACCUUACAAGGACGGAUCUGACAGUGAGGGAUGAAGGCCAGGGGCGCAAAACGGAUUAGAUACCCGGGUAGUC